GUUAUAGGGUCAAGCGAAUAAGUGCAUGUGGUGGAUGCCUUGGCGAUCACAGGCGAUGAAGGACGUAGUAGCUUGCGAAAAGCUGCGGGAGCUGGCAAACGAGCUUUGAUCCGCAGAUGUCCGAAUGGGGAAACCCGGCCCGUAUGGGUCAUCCCUUGCUGAAUACAUAGGCAAGGGAGGCGAACGCAGUGAACUGAAACAUCUAAGUAGCUGCAGGAAAAGAAAUCAACCGAGAUUCCCAAAGUAGUGGCGAGCGAAAUGGGAACAGCCUUGUACUCUUUAGCAGUAUUGUUAGCGGAACGGAAUGGAAAGUCCGGCCAUAGUGGGUGAUAGCCCCGUACGCGAAAACAGUAUUGUGGAACUAGGUGUACGACAAGUAGGGCGGGACACGUGAAAUCCUGUCUGAAGAUGGGGACCAUCCUCCAAGGCUAAAUACUCGUGAUCGACCGAUAGUGAACCAGUACCGUGAGGGAAAGGCGAAAAGAACCCCGGGAGGGAGUGAAAUAGAUCCUGAAACCGCAUGCAUACAAACAGUCGGAGCCUGGAAACGGGUGACGGCGUACCUUUGUAUAAUGGGUCAGCGACUUACAUUCAGUGGCAAGCUUAACCGAUUAGGGAAGGCGUAGCGAAAGCGAGUCCGAAUAGGGCGUUCAGUCGCUGGGUGUAGACCCGAAACCAAGUGAUCUAUCCAUGGCCAGGUUGAAGGUGCGGUAACACGUACUGGAGGACCGAACCCACUAACGUUGAAAAGUUAGGGGAUGAGCUGUGGAUAGGGGUGAAAGGCUAAACAAACUUGGAAAUAGCUGGUUCUCUCCGAAAACUAUUUAGGUAGUGCCUCGUGUCUCACCUUCGGGGGUAGAGCACUGUCAUGGUUGGGGGGUCUAUUGCUGAUUACCCCGCCAUAGCAAACUCCGAAUACCGAAGAGUGCAAUCACGGGAGACAGACAUCGGGUGCUAACGUCCGGUGUCAAGAGGGAAACAACCCAGACCGCCAGCUAAGGUCCCUAAGAUUGGCUAAGUGGGAAACGAAGUGGGAAGGCUAAAACAGUCAGGAGGUUGGCUUAGAAGCAGCCACCCUUUAAAGAAAGCGUAAUAGCUCACUGAUCGAGUCGUCCUGCGCGGAAGAUGUAACGGGGCUAAGCCAGUCACCGAAGCUGCGGAUGCACGUAAGUGCAUGGUAGGAGAGCGUUCUGUAAGCCUGUGAAGGUGUCUUGUAAAGGAUGCUGGAGGUAUCAGAAGUGCGAAUGCUGACAUGAGUAGCGAUAAAGGGGGUGAAAGGCCCCCUCGCCGUAAGCCCAAGGUUUCCUACGCAACGUUCAUCGGCGUAGGGUGAGUCGGCCCCUAAGGCGAGGCAGAGAUGCGUAGCUGAUGGGAAGCAGGUUAAUAUUCCUGCACCGUCGUAUGAUGCGAUGGGGGGACGGAUCGCGGAAGGUUGUCCGGGUGUUGGAAGUCCCGGUCCCUACAUUGGAGAUGGCACUUAGGCAAAUCCGGGUGCGUGAUUCAAGGGUGUGGGGCGAGCGACGUUAGGUCGCGAAGCAAUUGGAAGUGGUUCCAAGAAAAGCCUCUAAGCUUCAGUCAUACGAGACCGUACCGCAAACCGACACAGGUGGGCGAGAUGAGUAUUCUAAGGCGCUUGAGAGAACUCGGGAGAAGGAACUCGGCAAAUUGGUACCGUAACUUCGGGAUAAGGUACGCCCUUGUAGUUUGACUGGCUCGCGCCAGAAGGAUGAAGGGGUUGCAAUAAAAUGGUGGCUGCGACUGUUUAAUAAAAACACAGCACUCUGCAAACACGAAAGUGGACGUAUAGGGUGUGACGCCUGCCCGGUGCCGGAAGAUUAAAUGAUGGGGUGCAAGCUCUUGAUUGAAGUCCCGGUAAACGGCGGCCGUAACUAUAACGGUCCUAAGGUAGCGAAAUUCCUUGUCGGGUAAGUUCCGACCUGCACGAAUGGCGUAACGAUGGCCACACUGUCUCCUCCCGAGACUCAGCGAAGUUGAAGUGUUUGUGAUGAUGCAAUCUCCCCGCGGCUAGACGGAAAGACCCCAUGAACCUUUACUGUAGCUUUGCAUUGGACUUUGAACCGAUCUGUGUAGGAUAGGUGGGAGGCUUUGAAACCGGGACGCUAGUUUCGGUGGAGCCGACCUUGAAAUACCACCCUGGUUUGUUUGAGGUUCUAACCUUGGCCCGUGAAUCCGGGUCGGGGACAGUGCAUGGUAGGCAGUUUGACUGGGGCGGUCUCCUCCCAAAGUGUAACGGAGGAGUUCGAAGGUACGCUUGGUACGGUCGGACAUCGUACCUAAAGUGCAAUGGCAAAAGCGUGCUUAACUGCGAGACCGACAAGUCGAGCAGGUGCGAAAGCAGGACAUAGUGAUCCGGUGGUUCUGUAUGGAAGGGCCAUCGCUCAACGGAUAAAAGGUACUCUGGGGAUAACAGGCUGAUACCGCCCAAGAGUUCAUAUCGACGGCGGUGUUUGGCACCUCGAUGUCGGCUCAUCUCAUCCUGGGGCUGUAGCCGGUCCCAAGGGUAUGGCUGUUCGCCAUUUAAAGAGGUACGUGAGCUGGGUUUAAAACGUCGUGAGACAGUUUGGUCCCUAUCUGCCGUGGGCGUUGGAAUCUUGACGGGGGCUGCUCCUAGUACGAGAGGACCGGAGUGGACGUACCGCUGGUGUACCUGUUGUCUCGCCAGAGGCAUCGCAGGGUAGCUAUGUACGGAAGAGAUAACCGCUGAAAGCAUCUAAGCGGGAAACUCGCCUGAAGAUGAGGAUUCCCUGGAGACUUGAUCUCCCUGAAGGGUCGUUCGAGACCAGGACGUUGAUAGGCUGGGUGUGGAAGCGCAGUAAUGCGUUCAGCUAACCAGUACUAAUUGCCCGUGCGGCUUGAUCCUAUAACC
rnacentral:rRNA from 1 species